rnacentral:lncRNA from 1 species
GUCAUGAUAGACAUCCUUAGUGCUCUCACACACUGAUGCUUUCCUUUCCCUCUGCCCAUGGUUGGGAGGGAACUGGUGGCAUCCAGCACUGGCUCUUCUCCCACACUGAAAGCCCUGUAGGACCCAGGGAUUUUUUCCUUCUUUCCUUCCAGCACCUCACAGAAGUCUCACUAAUACUAUUGGUAUUAAUAUUUAACCUGGUGAAGCACAUGAGGCUGUAGGGUACAUCUGACUGGAAGGUCCAGGUUCCUGCUCAAAGCCAGGCUGAUUUAAUCCAGGUUGCUCAGAGCCUUGUCCAGGCUGAUUUUGAAUACCUCUGAAGAUGGAGCAUCUCUGGGCUCCUGCUCCCUCUGUGCAAUCUUUGCUUGUGCUGGGUUGGAGUUUCCCUUGCUGCAGACUGUUCCUGUGUCCUCGUCCUUUUGCUGUCACCCCGAGGAGAUGGACCCUGGGGAUCAGCCUGGUGGGGCUGGCAAGGAGCACAGGAGGCGGUACAGUGGGCCAGCUCUGACUACAUCUGGAAGUGUCCCUUACUUUUUCCUUUUAAAGGAAGGUGCCAGAAACUCUCCACUGACGACAGCUUCUGCUUUAGGCAACCUCUUCAUGCUAAUUAUUAUAGAUUGGCUCCAGCAAUGAAGUAAGACUUCAAAGUAAGAGUAAGACUAUUACUCUUUUAAUUAAGAGUCAACUUAAAUCACCUUUAGCAAAGCAGCAUUCAUACCCAAUUCUUUCUGCCUCCUUACCUUCAACAGUGCCCUGUAGCAUCAAGCACAUCCACAGCAUAAUUCAGGCAGGAAUUUUCUCUUGUAUUUGAGUUGAUUCUGUGUUUAAUUUCAUUGCUGUUCCCUUCCUACCACCUCCAGCUUGUGCCUUGAGACAGGAAGAACAUGAAUAUCCCUUCUGCCUUCUCCAAGGUCCUCGCUUCUCAUCCCAGAUGGGAGCUGGCUGUAGGGUCUCCCCUGCAGCUGACCUGAACCAUGGGCUCAGCAGCUCUAUGAACAGCUCUGAUAGUGCUGCUGCACAAACGGUAUCUUCCAAGAGGGGCAGAGCCAACAUCUGGAGGACAGAAACCUCUGCAGUCACCCUACAAGCUAAAUGGUUCCUGCUCAUGAAAUGGGACUUUCAGGUAAAUAGAAAGGAGCAGUUUUUAUUCUCUACUUGGCAGGAUGGCGUACAACCACCCUACCUGAGCAAAGAGUGGAAAGACAUCUACGUUUUCUGCAUGUGA